UACGUAGGGCGCAAGCGUUGUCCGGAAUUAUUGGGCGUAAAGAGCUCGUAGGCGGUUUGUCGCGUCUGCCCGUGAAAGUCCGGGGGCUCAACUCCCGGAUCUGCAGUGGGUACGGGCAGACUAGAGUGCGGUAGGGGAGAUUGGAAUUCCUGGUGUAGCGGUGGAAUGCGCAGAUAUCAGGAGGAACACCAAUGGCGAAGGCAGAUCUCUGGGCCGUAACUGACGCUGAGGAGCGAAAGCAUGGGGAGCGAACAGG
rnacentral:rRNA from 1 species